UACCAAUUGUGGAAUCAUAAUCACUUAUUUCAUAGUCAAAGAAGGAUGCGUUUGUUUCAGUGUGGAAUGGAUCAUAUUCAAGAAAAUUGUCCACCACUGUUAAUGAAUUCUCAACUCAUGGACCUCUAUGUUGCUCAACAUUUUCUGCUACUGAGAUUCUUGGGUAUGCAGAAACAUCAUUUGUGGAAUGAUAACCAAACUCAUAGUCAGAGAAGAAUGGGUCUAUCUUUGUGUUAGUUUGAAAUGCAUCAUCACAUUCAAGAUACUUGUCAACAACUUUCAAAUGAUUGCUCAACUGUCUGUUGCUCAACAAUGUCUUCUACUAAGAUGGAUCGGCCUAUUGUAAAACGAGUUGUGGAAUAAUCAACCCACUCCAUGAGUCAGAUAAAGGGAGGGGAGUACUCUCCACACUACAAGAAAUUGGGCUUGUACCCGCGAAGCUAUAGCUGCGGUUUUUCAUAAACGCAGGUAUAGUAUCUCAUAUAGCUGUGGUUCCACGACCGCAGGUAGAGGAUAUGAAAAGACGUCGUCAUUUUGCUACAAAAAUAAGGGCUCGACUUCUCCAUAUCCCGCGACCUCAACUUGCUUCCGAUUUUCCAAAUCGAAAUUUUUCAUCGCUUCGAAGACCACGAUUUCCAAAUCAUACGACCUCAUUCAGAGACCAUGAUUUCCAUCGCUUCUACUGAAACCAUUCACAGGAUGAAUGGGAACUGAAAAGGGAAGAUUGUUGUAGUUUGAACUCGCCGACGAAGGAGUGUUGUAGUUGGGUACAGGUUUUUUUUUUGAGAAAUCCUUAGGUUUGCGUCUAGUUUUUGGCUUCUAUUUGUGCAUUUUAUGAAUUCAUUGUUGAUUUCUUAGCUUUAAAUGGUGCUUCUUUUUGCCGUUUUAUGUGUGCCCUUAGGUUUUUUUUCAUUGUUCUUCUACUUGAGUUAUGAUUUCUAUAGUUUAUUUUUCAGAUGUUAUGUGACAACGAAGACAUGGAUAUGUUUUGUGGUUGAGAUAUAUAGCUGAAUCUUAUGGCAUGGAAGUGUUAUUAUUGAUGCAGGUGUUAAAUGUCAUACUAAGACUUGCCUGGAUGCAAACGGUGUUAGGCUUCACAGAAGCACCUUUUCAUUCCAUGAUUUGUAGGCUGUUGUAAUGCUUUCUUAAAGAUGGUGAAGGUUGCACAGUUCAUGGCAAGCAUAAAGCCUCAGGCUCUCUUAAUUCAAAGUAAGAAGAAGAAGGGGCCAACAUGUUGUUUCUUUUCUUGUAAAUUUUGUUGGUGUACAAGUUCUCCUGAUUUUUUCAUUUCUUUUAGAUUUACAAUGUAUUCUCAUUUAGUAUGUAAGAGCUGAAUAUGGCUAUUGGUUAUUCUGAACAAUGUAUUGGCGUUAUAUUUAAU